AGUGAACGCUGGCGGCAGGCCUAACACAUGCAAGUCGAACGGAAGCACAGUAAGAGCUUGCCCUUACGGGUGGCGAGUGGCGGAUGGGUGAGGCAUGCAUCGCCUUCUUCUUUUUCGGGGGGGAUAACGUAGGGCAACUUAUGCUAAUACCGCAUACGACCUACGGGUGAGAGCAGGGGAUCUUCGGACUUUGCGCGUCUGUUUUAGCCGAGGUCGGAUUAGCUAGUUGGCGAGGUAAAGGCCCACCAAGGCAACGAUGCGUAGCAGAUCUGAGAGGAUGAUCGGCCACACUGGAACUGAGACACGGUCCAGACUCCUACGGGAGGCAGCAGUAGGGAAUAUUGGGCAAUGGGCGCAAGCCUGACGCAGCCACGCCGCGUGAGUGAAGAAGGCCUUCGGGUUGUAAAGCCCUGUUGUUGGGGAAGAAAAGCUGCGGAAUAAACCGCGGCUGUUCUGACGGUACCCAAAGAGUAAGCACCGGCUAACUUCGUG
rnacentral:rRNA from 1 species